rnacentral:rRNA from 1 species
UGGGGAAUAUUGCACAAUGGAGGGAACUCUGAUGCAGCGACGCCGCGUGAGUGAUGAAGGAAUUCGUUUCGUAAAACUCUGUUCUAUGGGAAGAAAAGGACUGUACCAUAGGAGAAAGCUCCGGCUAAAUACGUGCCAGCAGCCGCGGUAAUACGUAUGGAGCGAGCGUUGUCCGGAAUUAUUGGGCGUAAAGGGUGCGCAGGCGGCUUUACAAGUUGGUUGUGAAAUAUUGUGGCUCAACCACAAACGUGCAUCCAAAACUGCAAAGCUUGAGUUAAGGAGAGGUAAGUGGAAUUCCUGGUGUAGCGGUGGAAUGCGUAGAUAUCAGGAGGAAUACCGGUGGCGAAGGCGACUUACUGGACUUAAACUGACGCUCAGGCACGAAAGCGUGGGGAGCAAACAGG